UCCCAGCGCCUGGGUAUGACUACUCCCCGGGGGCCGACCAGCCCUGGGCACCAGCGGAGGCAGCAGGGAGCAGCGCAGCGGUUCAGCCCCGGCGCCCAGCUGCAGGCGGCGCUGCGGCGGGAGGCCCUGGGCGCACCGCUCGGCUGGCGGAAGAGCAGCCGCUUCCUGCGCGGGCUGUUGGAGCCGCCGUGCCGGCAUGGCGUGUGCCUUCCUGCUGGAGAUCCGGCGGGAGACGCAGAGCGCGUUGCUCGUUAUCCGCGAGGCGAGCCUGCGGAGCCUGCCGGCCGACAUCUCGGUGGCCCCGGGCCGGCUGGAGAAUUUGUUUAUAAUUGGAGGGAAAGCCUGAAACCCCAAAAGAAUUGCAUCUUUUACUGCCAGACGUGUGGUGAUGUCAUAGUAAAAGAACGGAAAUUUCUCAGAGUUCUUCCUCUACCAAGUGAACACUGGAGUGCUUUAGUAGAAGAGUGGUGUUGUCACCCUAAUCCCUUUGCAAGAAGCACUUUACGCCCUCAGCAUGAUGACUGUUUUCUUGGAGACACUUUUCUCCUGUUGAAUUCAGGAAAUCAAUCUAAUGUGCCUGAAUCUCCCAAGUGCAGCUCAGAGACUGGACAUCGCGCUUCUCAGAAUGGCUCUACCUUGAAAUCAAAGGAAAAUACCAGAGUAAUUUGUGAGCGCUGCAAGAAGACACUGGGAGAAACAGUAUCAUCAGAUACUAUUAAAUACUAUCUCACUGAAGUGAUUAUUUGGCCAUCUGAGGAAAGUUUCAGCACAAUACCAAGAUCUCAAUUCAUGCAGAGCAUUGUUGCUCAGUGUCUUGUGGAACUGUCCUCUGCUAAAAGCACGUUUAGAUUCACCAUAAACGGUGAUGAUGGAAAGAUCUAUAUUCUGGUAUGGCUUUUAAAUUCUGACACAUUGCUGGUGGAGUCCUUAGGAAAUUCCUCCUCCCAUAGUGUUUUUACACUGUUUGGAGAUAAUUUCAUGCCUAGCUCUGGACCACUGGGGGUAUGGAAUGCUGUCAAAGUUCUCUACCAGCCAUGCAUUAAGAACAGAAAUAAGGACAUUGCUGAUGCCUGGGAAAAUGAUUUUGGAGUUCAUCCUUUAAAGUUUCCAUCAGAAACCUGUCUGGAAUUACUGCUGAUGCUGAGUUUGAGUACUGCUUCUCUACCCCCUUCACUUCAGCGCAUGAAUUCUUUUCAGGGUUUAAUGUGGAAUUUUAAGACGAAAUUCAACAGCAAAUAAAAUUAAAUCCAUCUGACAUACCACGCAGCUAACCCUCAAGAGUUGCAAUUCGUCUGUGUAAGUGAAUAAGAAUUUUGCAUAAAUUUCUCUGCUCAAGUGCUGAUGCUAUUGGAGAACUGGAAUUGGAAAAGUGUUCUCGCAGUGUACUGCUGCUCUGAACUCUUCCAGGAGGAGCCAAGGUAUUGCACUUCAAACAAUAUAAAUGAUUAAAAGUCUUCACUCCACUAGAUGGGGAAAAAAGAUGCUUAUAGUAUAGUACUUCCUCACAUUCUGCAGUUAUUGAUAUGAUGUAAUAUUUUUAUGCUUGGGUUGCCUUUCUGAAGAUGUGAAGAACUCAUGUACCUAUGUGGAAAACUCUUUUCAAAUUCACUUCCAGCAGACAUGUACAGAAAACUUCCAGUGGCGUGACAACUGAAAGAAAAUCCACAGGCAAUAUAAAGCAAAAUAAGCUAUGGCCGAUGUUAUUCUUUCUAUCUGGGUGUGAUUCAAAGGCAAAGACAGAGUUAGCUUUUACAUCCAGUGCAUUCUUAGAUGUCACUGUUAAGACUUGUCACAUCCAGCUGGGCUGAGUUCUAAGUAGUCAAUUCUACCUUUAUCAGACACUAUUGGUAGUCCUAAGUAAAUUGGCAGCAAAGAGGGGUUCUGAAAUAUUAGGGAUGCUGAACUGUGUUCUGUCCUUUCUUUGCUCUAAUAAAGUUAGAAGGCCAACUUUAAAAUAUAAAAUCUAGUUUUUGUCAAA